GACGAACGCUGGCGGCGUGCUUAACACAUGCAAGUCGAACGGAAAGGCCCUGCUUUUGUGGGGUUCUCGAGUGGCGAACGGGUGAGUAACACGUGAGUAUCCUGCCCUUGUCUUUGGGAUAACUUCAGGAAACUGGGGCUAAUACCGGAUAGGAUCUCCUGCUGCAUGGUGGGGGUUGGAAAGUUUCGGCGGUUGGGGAUGGACUCGCGGCUUAUCCGCUUGUUGGUGGGGUAGUGGCUUACCAAGGCUUUGACGGGUAGCCGGCAUGAGAGGGUUAACGGGGACAAUGGGACUGAGAGACGGACCAGAAGGCUACGGGAGGCAGCAGUGGGGAGUAUGGCACAAUGAGCGGAAGCCUGAUGCAGAAACGCCGCGUGCGGGAUGACGGCCUUCGGGUUGUAAACAGCUGUCGCCUGUGACGAAGCGGGAGUGACGGUAAUGGGUAAAGAAGCACCGGCUAACUACGUG
rnacentral:rRNA from 1 species